CCUACGGGUGGCAGCAGUGGGGAAUAUUGCACAAUGGGCGAAAGCCUGAUGCAGCAACGCCGCGUGAAGGAAGACGGUUCUCGGAUUGGAAACCUCUGUUCUUAGUGAAGAAUAAUGACGGUAACUAAGGAGCAAGCCACGGCUAACUACGUGACAGCAGCCGAGGUAAGACGGAGGUGGCAAGCGUUGUCCGGAAUUACUGGGUGUAAAGGGAGCGUAGGGGGGAAGCCAAGUCAGCGGUGAAAACUACGGGCUUAACCGUUAGACUGCAGUUGAAAAUGGCAUGUUUGAGUAAAGUUGAGGUUGGCGGAAUUCGUAGUGUAGCGGUGAAAUGCGUAGAUAUUCCGAAGAACACCGGUGGCGAAGGCGGCCAACUAGGCUUUAACUGACGCUGAUGCUCGAAAGUGUGGGUAGCAAACAGGAUUAGAUACCCUGGUAGUC
rnacentral:rRNA from 1 species